GAUGAACGCUGGCGGCGUGCUUAACACAUGCAAGUCGAACGGAAAGGCCCCUGCUUGCAGGGGUACUCGAGUGGCGACCGGGUGAGUAACACGUGGGUGAUCUGCCCUGCACUUCGGGAUAAGCCUGGGCAACUGGGUCUAAUACCGGAUAGGACGAUGGUUUGGAUGCCAUUGUGGAAAGUUUUUCGGUGUGGGAUGAGCUCGCGGCCUAUCAGCUUGUUGGUGGGGUAAUGGCCUACCAAGGCGUCGACGGGUAGCCGGCCUGAGAGGGUGUACGGCCACAUUGGGACGGAGAUACGGCCCAGACUCCUACGGGAGGCAGCGGAGGGGUAGAUUGCACAAUGGGCUGAAGCCUGAUGCAGCGACGCCGCGUGGGGGAUGACGUCCUUCGGGUUGUAUACUCCUUUCGCUAGGGACGAAGCGCAAGUGACGGUACCUGGAGAAGAAGCACCGGCUAACUACGUG
rnacentral:rRNA from 1 species